ACGAACGCUGGCGGCGUGCCUAAUACAUGCAAGUAGAACGCUGAAGAGAGGAGCUUGCUCUUCUUGGAUGAGUUGCGAACGGGUGAGUAACGCGUAGGUAACCUGCCUUGUAGCGGGGGAUAACUAUUGGAAACGAUAGCUAAUACCGCAUAACAAUGGAUGACACAUGUCAUUUAUUUGAAAGGGGCAAUUGCUCCACUACAAGAUGGACCUGCGUUGUAUUAGCUAGUAGGUGAGGUAACGGCUCACCUAGGCGACGAUACAUAGCCGACCUGAGAGGGUGAUCGGCCACACUGGGACUGAGACACGGCCCAGACUCCUACGGGAGGCAGCAGUAGGGAAUCUUCGGCAAUGGGGGCAACCCUGACCGAGCAACGCCGCGUGAGUGAAGAAGGUUUUCGGAUCGUAAAGCUCUGUUGUAAGUCAAGAACGAGUGUGAGAGUGGAAAGUUCACACUGUGACGGUAGCUUACCAGAAAGGGACGGCUAACUACGUGCCAGCAGCCGCGGUAAUACGUAGGUCCCGAGCGUUGUCCGGAUUUAUUGGGCGUAAAGCGAGCGCAGGCGGUUUGAUAAGUCUGAAGUUAAAGGCUGUGGCUCAACCAUAGUUCGCUUUGGAAACUGUCAAACUUGAGUGCAGAAGGGGAGAGUGGAAUUCCAUGUGUAGCGGUGAAAUGCGUAGAUAUAUGGAGGAACACCGGUGGCGAAAGCGGCUCUCUGGUCUGUAACUGACGCUGAGGCUCGAAAGCGUGGGGAGCGAACAGGAUUAGAUACCCUGGUAGUCCACGCCGUAAACGAUGAGUGCUAGGUGUUGGAUCCUUUCCGGGAUUCAGUGCCGCAGCUAACGCAUUAAGCACUCCGCCUGGGGAGUACGACCGCAAGUUUGAAACUCAAAGGAAUUGACGGGGGCCCGCACAAGCGGUGGAGCAUGUGGUUUAAUUCGAAGCAACGCGAAGAACCUUACCAGGUCUUGACAUCCCGAUGCUAUUUCUAGAGAUAGAAAGUUACUUCGGUACAUCGGUGACAGGUGGUGCAUGGUUGUCGUCAGCUCGUGUCGUGAGAUGUUGGGUUAAGUCCCGCAACGAGCGCAACCCCUAUUGUUAGUUGCCAUCAUUCAGUUGGGCACUCUAGCGAGACUGCCGGUAAUAAACCGGAGGAAGGUGGGGAUGACGUCAAAUCAUCAUGCCCCUUAUGACCUGGGCUACACACGUGCUACAAUGGUUGGUACAACGAGUUGCGAGUCGGUGACGGCAAGCUAAUCUCUUAAAGCCAAUCUCAGUUCGGAUUGUAGGCUGCAACUCGCCUACAUGAAGUCGGAAUCGCUAGUAAUCGCGGAUCAGCACGCCGCGGUGAAUACGUUCCCGGGCCUUGUACACACCGCCCGUCACACCACGAGAGUUUGUAACACCCGAAGUCGGUGAGGUAACCUUUUGGAGCCAGCCGCCUAAGGUGGGAUAGAUGAUUGGGGUG
rnacentral:rRNA from 1 species